AUGGUACGUGUGGGGGUCACUGCAGUGUGGGGGUGGAGUUGUGCGUGUGAGGGUCAUUGCAGCGUGGGGGUGGAGUGGUACGUGUGGGGGUCACUGCAGCGUGGGGGUCGAGUUGUGCGUGUGGGGGUCACUGCAGCGUGGGGGUGGAGUUGUGCGUGUGAGGGUCACUGCAGCGUGGGGGUGGAGUGGUACGUGUGGGGGUCACUGCAGCGUGGGGGUGGAGUGGUACGUGUGGGGGUCAUUACAGCGUGGGGGUGGAGUGGUACGUGUGGGGGUCACUGCAGCGUGGGGGUGGAGUGGUGUGUGGGGGGGUCACUGCAGCGUGGGGGUGGAGUGGUACGUGUGGGGGUCACUGCAGCGUGGGGGUGGAGUGGUACGUGUGGGGGUCACUGCAGCGUGGGGGUGGAGUGGUGUGUGGGGGGUCACUGCAGCGUGGGGGUGGAGUGGUACCUGUGGGUGUCACUGCAGCGUGGGGGUGGAGUGGUGUGGGGGGGGUCACUGCAGCGUGGGGGUGGAGUGGUGUGUGGGGGUCACUGCAGCGUGGGGGUGGAGUGGUGCAUGGGUGUCACUGCAGCGUGGGGGUGGAGUGGUGUGGGGGGGUCACUGCAGCGUGGGGGUGUAGUGGUUCGUGUGGGGGUCACUGCAGCGUGGGGGUGGAGUGGUGUGUGGGGGGUCACUGCAGCGUGGUGGGGGUGUGUGCGAGGGUUCACACCCAGCCACAGCUGCACGGGAUCUCCUCAUUACCCAGCUUCUGCCCAGAUGCCCUGUGAGCUGCAUCUGACCCCGGGUGAUCUCAAUGUGUCCUGCCCCCCCCCCACCGGCUGUCACUCCCCAGCGCUGGUGCCCAACCUGCGAGACCAACCACUGCCGGUGGCAGCUGUCGACAUGGGCAGACCCCAGCUCUCUGCUUGUGGCCCAGCUUCUGCCUUGGUCUGCCCCACGGGCACAUACCCUGCUGUACUGGAACAAGCUGAGUUCAUGAUGGGGGAGCCGCCUGGUCCGGGGUACAGCUUAAAGCCCUCCCUGCCCCCAGCCUGUGCUGGCCCAACCUGGAGCCCUGAGCUUGGCCCGCUCUGGCCUGGGGCUGCCCGGCUCUUCGCCAUGGGGUGCCCUGUGCCCUGCUGCACUGUAGCCUGGCUGCCCUAA
rnacentral:lncRNA from 1 species